rnacentral:tRNA from 1 species
GCUGGAAUAGCUCAGCUGGUAGAGCAACGGUCUUGUAAACCGUAGGUCGUCAGUUCAAAUCUGACUUUCAGCUCCA